CUCAACUGCUGAGCCAUCUUUCCAGCCCCCUUGCCUGGUUUUUAAUGUGGAUUCUGGAUAUCAAACUCAGCCUGCGUACUUUCAAGGCAAGCACUUUACUGACUGAGCUGUCUUCCCCCAGUCCCAGUGUAUAGUCCGGAAACCACGGAUUUGGAAGAUCCUAGAAGAACCAUGCAAAUAUGGAAUCUCUUUGGAUAAGGAGAAAAUGUCAGUUGUAGACUCUUGGCCAAUAGCCCUUGCAGUGUUCUGUAGUAGGAGAAAUGACGAGGCAUGAUUCUUUAACAUGCAGGCAUUUAGUCAUUAUUACUAUUAGUUUGUGGUGUUGGGGACUGUCCAGGCCCUUUCCCAGGUUAGUCAGGCACUGUAUCAUUGAGCUACACCCCUAGUUCUGUUUUGAACAGUGCAGUUUUUAGACAAUGUUAAAGCAUGCUUGAAUUACAACUCUAAGAAAACUGUGGACCAGAAAAAAAAGUGGACAUUUGUGCUGGGAGGCGAAUGAUUCCAUAUUACAGAGUGAAUACUUGCCCCAAAUAGUUCUUCUUAGCUUCUAUCUGUACUCAGGUUGUAGGUUAAACGUUUUUAUUUUUCACUUACUGUCUGUAGAGGACAACUUUUCCAUAAGAUUGUGACUUCCAUUUUUCAGUAAAGUAGCCUGAGUGGCAAUCUUGCUUCAAAAUUUAAAGGACUCUGGGUAUUAAGGUAAAACCCAACCCCAGUAGAGACUGGACUGGUAACGAGCUUGCUUGGCAUGAGAAGCCUUGAGUCUCGUCCCCAGCACUUCAUAAACCAGGCAUAGUGAGUGGUUCAGGCCUGUAAUCCCAGGACUCAGGAGGUACCGACUUGAGGAUGAAGGUAACCCUUCACUACAGUCUCCCAUACACAGUGAGAUCAGACCAGUUGGCUACAGGAUACUGUUUCCAUGAAAACUAAGCAAGUCAGGAGCAUUUCCCUAGGUUGGCAGCUUCCCAGGAAGGCUUGGGAAGGAGACCCACUUCUGAAGUUAUGGAUGAAUUAAAAACAAACAAAAACAAAAAAACUGGGGCUGGAGAGAGAGCUCAGAGCACUGGCUGCUCUUCCAGAGAUUCUGAGUUCAAUUCCCAGCAACCACACGGUGGGUCACAACCAUGAGAUCUGGUGCUAUCUUCUGGUGUGCAGAGAGAACACUGUAUAUAUAAUAAAUAAAUAAUCUUAAAAAAGGGGGGGGUAACUAGCCCGUCGGUGGUGGUGUACACCUUUAAUCUCAGCACUUGGAGGCAGUGGUAGGGGGAAUCUCUUUGUGAGUUUGAGGACUGUUACACAGAGAAAUCCUGUCUCCAAAAACCAAAACCAACCCAAAAUACAAACAAACAAAAAAAUCACAAGGUAGGCAAAGACACAUUUAAAAACAGUAUUUUUUUCUUCUUCAUCCUUUUGCCUUUUCACUGCAGUAUCUGUCCUGACCACAGGAGAGUAAAAUGCAGUGCCCAUGCAGAAAAGCUUCAGAGUAAUUCCUUUUUCAGAUCCCCCCCCCCCCAUCUAACUUUGUAGCUCUGGCUGUUCUGGAAAUCACUAUGUAGACCAGGCUGGCCUCAAAUUCAUAGACUGCCCUGCCUGUUUCCCAAGCGCCAGGAUUAAAGAGAGUCACCACGCUAGGUUAUUUCCACUUUUAUCCACCAAUCACUCGGCGUCAAAUUUAGUCCAGAGUUGCUUCUCACUCUCUACGUAGUCGAGGAUGACUUUGAACUUCUGAAUAUCCUGCUUCCAUCUCUCCAAGUACUGGGAUCAAAGGUGUGCUGGCCACCACGCCUAGUUUUGUUGGGGAUCCAUCUCGGGCCUUCUUGCCCCCCAGCCCGACUCCAUUUCCGUUAUCUUUCGCAACAAACGGAGAUAAAGGCCACGCUUUCCCCUUUCUCCACCUCAUUCACUCUGGUCGGUAGGUGAGGAUAUCGGGUAUGUUCCAGGAAGCCAGCGUACACGCUCUCUCCGGAGUGAGUAAACAGGAAACUAUCGAUCCUAUGCAGGAAAUGACCUUGUGUGAGGGCGCAGUAGGUGCGCGGGUUUCCCUCGCUUUCCCCAAGUUCCCUUCCUAACUCAUUUCCGGGUGUCAAACCAUUUGGUCCUUCCCUACAAAAACAGCGUCGGCUGGCUCUUCGCAGUCCACCCUAGAACUCCUCACCCAGAGCCCGGCCAAUAGGCCGGUGCCCUCAGUAGACAUCUUUACGCCCUCUCUUACAUCACUGCAAACCUCCAAUCAGUAGCUGGGGGAGGAGGUACCCAAAUAACCUCCACUUCCUCCCCAAAUGGCCACCCUUCUCCUGCGUCAUCCCCUGAUGGACAACCCACACGGCCAAUCCUCGAGCACCCCGGGGCCCAGCCCCUCCUCAAGCCCACCAUUCAGGACGAAGGCGAGCCACGGACCUCUCGCCCCUCUUUUGGAAAUGCCUCGACGCGGUGGCUCCGGGACGAGCAAAGUUAACAACUUUUCUACAGUCGGUGCUGCCCGCCUCCGGGUCCAUCCCGGAUCCACUUGGGUCGCCCGGGGCGCACGCCCACCCGGGAUGGCCCGCCCCGCGCGGUCCCCGUCCCAGCCCGCCUUGCAGUGGCUGGAUGCCCAUCCCCGAGCCCGCUGCGCUCCCAGCCCGGGACGCGCGGCCCGCAGCCGGGGGCGCGGAUCUUUCCAUUCGCUGCUCUCCUCCCUCCUCUCCUCCGCGUUCCGG
ensembl:lncRNA